rnacentral:rRNA from 1 species
AUGAACGCUGGCGGCGUGCCUAAUACCUGCAAGUCGAGCGAACAGACGAGGAGCUUGCUCCUCUGACGUUAGCGGCGGACGGGUGAGUAACACGUGGAUAACCUACCUAUAAGACUGGGAUAACUUCGGGAAACCGGAGCUAAUACCGGAUAAUAUAUUGAACCGCAUGGUUCAAUAGUGAAAGACGGUUUUGCUGUCACUUAUAGAUGGAUCCGCGCCGCAUUAGCUAGUUGGUAAGGUAACGGCUUACCAAGGCAACGAUGCGUAGCCGACCUGAGAGGGUGAUCGGCCACACUGGAACUGAGACACGGUCCAGACUCCUACGGGAGGCAGCAGUAGGGAAUCUUCCGCAGUGGGCGAAAGCCUGACGGAGCAACGCUGCGUGAGUGAUGAAGGUCUUCGGAUCGUAAAACUCUGUUAUUAGGGAAGAACAAAUGUGUAAGUAACUAUGCACGUCUUGACGGUACCUAAUCAGAAAGCCACGGCUAACUACGU